GUUAGGAAUAUUGGACAAUGGGCGAAAGCCUGAUCCAGCCAUGCCGCGUGAACGAUGAAGGCCUUCGGGUUGUAAAGUUCUUUAGCCGAUGAUUAUAAUGACUGUAGUCGGAAAAUAAGCCCCGGCUAACUUCGUGCCAGCAGCCGCGGUAAUACGAAGGGGGCGAGCGUUAUUCGGAAUCACUGGGCGUAAAGCGUGCGUAGGCGGUUUUGUAAGUUAGGAGUGAAAGCCCAGGGCUCAACCUUGGAAUUGCUCUUGAAACUGCAAGGCUCGAAUCUCGGAGAGGAUAGCGGAAUUUCCAGUGUAGCAGUGAAAUGCGUAGAUAUUGGAAGGAACACCAGUGGCGUAAGCGGCUAUCUGGACGAGUAUUGACGCUGAGGCACGAAAGCGUGGGGAUCAAACAGGAUUAGAAACCCGUGUAGUCC
rnacentral:rRNA from 1 species